UACGAAGGGGGCUAGCGUUGCUCGGAAUCACUGGGCGUAAAGGGUGCGUAGGCGGGUCUUUAAGUCAGGGGUGAAAUCCUGGAGCUCAACUCCAGAACUGCCUUUGAUACUGAGGAUCUUGAGUAUGGGAGAGGUGAGUGGAACUGCGAGUGUAGAGGUGAAAUUCGUAGAUAUUCGCAAGAACACCAGUGGCGAAGGCGGCUCACUGGCCCAUUACUGACGCUGAGGCGCGACAGCGUGGGGAGCAAACAGG
rnacentral:rRNA from 1 species